AGCGAACGCUGGCGGCAGGCCUAACACAUGCAAGUCGAACGGCAGCACAGGAGAGCUUGCUCUCUGGGUGGCGAGUGGCGGACGGGUGAGGAAUACAUCGGAAUCUACCUUUUCGUGGGGGAUAACGUAGGGAAACUUACGCUAAUACCGCAUACGACCUACGGGUGAAAGUGGGGGACCGCAAGGCCUCACGCGAUUAGAUGAGCCGAUGUCCGAUUAGCUAGUUGGCGGGGUAAUGGCCCACCAAGGCGACGGUCGGUAGCUGGUCUGAGAGGAUGAUCAGCCACACUGGAAAUGAGACACGGUCCAGACUCCUACGGGAGGCAGCAGUGGGGAAUAUUGGACAAUGGGCGCAAGCCUGAUCCAGCCAUACCGCGUGGGUGAAGAAGGCCUUCGGGUUGUAAAGCCCUUUUGUUGGGAAAGAAAUCCUGUCGAUUAAUACUCGGUGGGGAUGACGGUACCCAAAGAAUAAGCACCGGCUAACUUCGUGCCAGCCGCCGCAGUAA
rnacentral:rRNA from 1 species